ACUACUGAAACACUCUUAUAAACACUACUGAAACAUUCUUACAUACACGACUGAAGCACUCUUAUAAACACUACUGAAACAUUCUUACAUACACUACUGAAACACUCUUAUAAACACUACUGAAAUGUUUUUGUCUCACGCACACACACACACACCUGGAAUUAUUUUUCACUAGUAUGUAUAAACGGAUUUCACCUGUGUGUGUGUGUGUGUGCUUUUUACACGUGCGUGUGAGAGACAACAAUUUCAGUAGUAUGUGUGCAAAGAUUUCAGUUAUAUGUAUGAGCGCAUCUUACCAGUGUGUAUGCAAGCAUUUUACCAAUGUGUGUAAGAGCAUCUUACCAGUAUGUAUGGGAGCAUCUUAGCAGUGUGUGUAAGAGCAUCUUACUAGUGUGUGUGAGCGAUGUUGCAUUCCGGUUCCGGUCACCAAUAAUCCCCGCCCCUUUUCAGACAAGUUUUUUUUUUUUUUUUUUUUUUUUUUUAAAGCCAAGUUGUGGACAAAAUGUCUGCCGACGAGUCGCUUAACCGAGGUGGGAGCUCCACUUCAUAAUUUGAGGGCUUCAGCUGAGAAUAUAAGAACACUUACAAUGCAACAAGGGUCGGGCUGCCGCCGUUUGGUCGCCCCUGCAGGACGCGGCACCUGAGCGGCCACACAGGUGCCUUUCUCCUCCCGGCAGCCUGGAGCAAAUGUUACUUUGCGAGUUUACACCGCACAUAUGCAACGUUUCAGUUCAUGGACAUCGAAGCAAGAGGAGGAAAAGAGGCAUGACCAUUUCAACAAAGACGGAAUAAACAACCUCUGGAUUCAUGGAACUUCUCUGCACACAAAUAUAUUAAUUGGAAUAUUCAAUAAAUUUCACAUAGAAA